rnacentral:rRNA from 1 species
AUGAACACAAGAGCGCAGAUGGCCAUGAAGAGCUUGAAGCAGCAUCGUCGCAAUCAGAAUGGUGGCCGACACAAGUUCAACCUUAACAGAUCUUGGACCAUGGCCAAGAUUGCUGCAUCAUAUGCUGGUCCAUCGCCGUGCCCGCUCGCGCCGGACCUGCAUCUGGACGAGCUACAUCCUGGAUCUGAGGUUGGGCAACCUCGGCGGGUGGUUCCUGGUUCAGGAAGCGGUCAACGUUUUUUCAUCCACUAUUGUUUGGAAUAUCGAAGAAUACUGAUUUUCUUUUGCAACAAACUACAUGGUGCAGGAUGUACUACUGGUUUCUCUUCUUGA